rnacentral:rRNA from 1 species
GAAGUAGCUUGCUACUGAUCUUAGCGGCGGACGGGUGAGUAAUACUUAGGAAUCUGGCUAUUAGUGGGGGACAACAUUUCGAAAGGGAUGCUAAUACCGCAUACGUCCUACGGGAGAAAGCAGGGGAUCAGUAAUGACCUUGCGCUAAUAGAUGAGCCUAAGUCGGAUUAGCUAGUUGGUGGGGUAAAGGCCUACCAAGGCGACGAUCUGUAGCGGGUCUGAGAGGAUGAUCCGCCACACUGGGACUGAGACACGGCCCAGACUCCUACGGGAGGCAGCAGUGGGGAAUAUUGGACAAUGGGGGGAACCCUGAUCCAGCCAUGCCGCGUGUGUGAAGAAGGCCUUAUGGUUGUAAAGCACUUUAAGCGAGGAGGAGGGUACUGGUAUUAAUACUACCAGCUACUGGACGUUACUCGCAGAAUAAGCACCGGCUAACUCUGUGCCAGCAGCCGCGGUAAUACAGAGGGUGCGAGCGUUAAUCGGAUUUACUGGGCGUAAAGCGCGCGUAGGCGGCUAAUUGAGUCGGAUGUGAAAUCCCCGAGCUUAACUUGGGAAUUGCAUUCGAUACCGGUUAGCUAGAGUGUGGGAGAGGAUGGUAGAAUUCCAGGUGUAGCGGUGAAAUGCGUAGAGAUCUGGAGGAAUACCGAUGGCGAAGGCAGCCAUCUGGCCUAACACUGACGCUGAGGUACGAAAGCAUGGGGAGCAAACAGGAUUAGAUACCCUGGUAGUCCAUGCCGUAAACGAUGUCUACUAGCCGUUGGUCUCUUUGAGGGAUUAGUGGCGCAGCUAACGCGAUAAGUAGACCGCCUGGGGAGUACGGUCGCAAGACUAAAACUCAAAUGAAUUGACGGGGGCCCGCACAAGCGGUGGAGCAUGUGGUUUAAUUCGAUGCAACGCGAAGAACCUUACCUGGUCUUGACAUAGU